CCCGUCCUACGGGGGGCAGCAGUCGAGAAUCAUUCACAAUGGGGGAAACCCUGAUGGUGCGACGCCGCGUGGGGGAAUGAAGGUCUUCGGAUUGUAACCCCCUGUCCUGUGGGCGCAAAUUAAAAAGAUAGUACCACAAGAGGAAGAGACGGCUAACUCUGUGCCAGCAGCCGCGGUAAUACAGAGGUCUCAAGCGUUGUUCGGCAUCACUGGGCGUAAAGCGUGCGUAGGCUGUUUCGUAAGUCGUGUGUGACAGGCGCGGGCUCAACCCGCGGCCGGCACAUGAUACUGCGAGACUAGAGGAA
rnacentral:rRNA from 1 species